ensembl:lncRNA
GCUCUGAUACAGGAGAGGGCCUGCAGUUACCAUUUUAAGGUGAUACCAGGAGGGACAGCCUUGCCCUGAAGCAUAAACAUGGACGUAGGCUUCCUGUGGUGGCACCAAGUGCUGAGGGUGAAGUGGGGGACUGGUACCCAGAGGAGAUGAGCAGGAUGUCAGGAGGAGUCCUGGCUGGAGGCUGAAUGGUUGUAUGGCUGUGGUGUUUGGGGCUGUCUGUGUAGAGCUGUGGUGUUUGUUUGCGGUUGUGGUGAUUGGGGUUAUGUGUGUAGAGCUGUGAUAUUUUGGUCUGUGGUGUUCAGGGCUCUUUGUGUAGAGUUUUGGUGCUUGGGACUGUGUGUCCAUAGACCUGUGGGUGUUUGGGGCUGUAUGUGUUUGGAUGUGGUGUUUGGGGCUUAGUGCAUAUAGCAGUGGUGUUUGGGGCUGUCUGUGUGGAGUUAUGGUGCUUGGGGCUGCAUGUCUAGACCUGUGGUGUUUGGGGCUGUAUGUGUAUAGCUGUGAUAUUUGGGGUGGUCUGCAGCGCUGUGGUGUUUGGGGCUGUAGUGUUUGGGGCUAUGGUGUUAGAAACUGUGUGUGUAGAGUUGUGUUGUUAGGGGGUUUGCAAGUAUAGCACUAGUGUUUGGGGUUGGUGUGUUAGGGGCUUUGCAUACAGUUGAUGUUUGGGGCUGUGGUGAUUGGGACUGUGAGUGUAGACCUGUGGUGUUUGGGGCUGUGAUUGUUUUGGGGGCUGUAUUGUUUGAAGCUGUGGUGACUGGGGCUGUGUGCGCAGAGCUGUGAUACUGGGAGCUGUUAUACUGGGGGCUGAGGUGCUUGAAGCUGUGUGUGUAGAGCUGUGUUUUUGGGGCAUCUGCCUGCACAGCUAUGAGGGCGCGGUGUUUAGGUAACUGUGUUUGAGGCUGUAGAGCUGUGCGUGCAGAUCGCUAUGUUUGAGGCUUUGUGGACUGCAGCCUCGUCUUACAACUGUGCCGCUCGGGGCUGCGGUGCGCGGCCGACUGCCGUGCCGAGGAGCUGCC